UAAGGAGGAAAAACGAUGACCUUGUUACUCACUGGAUACGAGCUAAGAAAACAGUUUGAAGAAGGCGACCAGUCGAAUAUUGGAGGAUAAAGAUGGGUUCUUGGAGUCAGAGAGAGAUAUCGGAAUAUGAAGAUAGGUUCUUGGAGUUGUAGAGCCGUAGAGGGAUGUCGGAAGAUGAAGAUGGGUUCUUGGAGUCGUAGAGGGAUGUCGAUCGGAAGAUGAAUUCUUGAGUAUUAGGAG
rnacentral:lncRNA from 1 species